GAUGAACGCUGGCGGCGUGCUUAAUACAUGCAAGUCGAACGAAGCACCUUGGACAGAAUCCUUCGGGAGGAAGACCAUUGUGACUGAGUGGCGGACGGGUGAGUAACGCGUGGGUAACCUGCCUUGUACAGGGGGAUAACAGUUGGAAACGACUGCUAAUACCGCAUAAGCGCACAGUACCGCAUGGUACGGUGUGAAAAACUCCGGUGGUACAAGAUGGACCCGCGUCUGAUUAGCUUGUUGGUGAGGUAACGGCCCACCAAGGCGACGAUCAGUAGCCGACUUGAGAGAGUGAUCGGCCACAUUGGGACUGAGACACGGCCCAAACUCCUACGGGAGGCAGCAGUAGGGAAUAUUGCACAAUGGGGGAAACCCUGAUGCAGCGACGCCGCGUGAAGGAAGAAGUAUUUCGGUAUGUAAACUUCUAUCAGCAAGGAAGAAAAUGACGGUACUUGACUAAGAAGCCCCGGCUAAAUAACGUGCCAGCAGCCGCGGU
rnacentral:rRNA from 1 species